rnacentral:lncRNA from 1 species
GCAGCAAUUUAUGCGUCCGUAGUCACUACGGGAUGUGAAAAGCUAGGCUCUGUCAAUGGGGGAGGAGAAGGAACAUCUUUCUGGUGGAAAGAUUGCCUCACGGAUCCUGUUGAAUGUUGAGCUCUGGUCUUAGCCAUGGUUGCUCGUAUUUUUUUUUAUCUGAUGCACCAAUCUGUUGCGGUCAAUCCCCUGUUGCACCCAUC